rnacentral:rRNA from 1 species
UUCCGCAGAGAUGUGGAAGUGCUCGAAAGAGAACCGGAACACAGGUGCUGCAUGGCUGUCGUCAGCUCGUGUCGUGAGAUGUUGGGUUAAGUCCCGCAACGAGCGCAACCCUUGUCAUUAGUUGCUACGAAAGGGGCACUCUAAUGAAACUGCCGGUGACAAACCGGAGGAAGGUGGGGAUGACGUCAAGUCCUCAUGGCCCUUAUGGGUAGGGCUUCACACGUCAUACAAUGGUCGGUACAGAGGGCUGCCAACCCGUAAGGGGGAGCCAAUCCUUUAAAACCGAUCGUAGUCCGGAUUGAGGUCUGCAACUCGACCUCAUGAAGUCGGAAUCGCUAGUAAUCGCGGAUCAGCAUGUCGCGGUGAAUACGUUCCCGGGUCUU